rnacentral:rRNA from 1 species
GACGAACGCUGGCGGCGUGCUUAACACAUGCAAGUCGAACGGUGACGAAGAGCUUGCUCUUCUGAUCAGUGGCGAACGGGUGAGUAACACGUGAGCAACCUACCCCUGACCCUGGGAUAACAGUUGGAAACAGCUGCUAAUACCGGAUAUGAACUCAGCAGGCAUCUGCAGAGUUGGAAAGCUCCGACGGUCAAGGAUGGGCUCGCGGCCUAUCAGCUUGUUGGUGAGGUAACGGCUCACCAAGGCGACGACGGGUAGCCGGCCUGAGAGGGCGACCGGCCACACUGGGACUGAGAUACGGCCCAG